rnacentral:rRNA from 1 species
GACGAACGCUGGCGGCGUGCUUAACACAUGCAAGUCGAACGGAAAGGCCCUGCUUGCAGGGUACUCGAGUGGCGAACGGGGGAGUAACACGCGGGUGAUCUGCCCUGCACCUCGGGAUAAGCCCGGGAAACUGGGUCUAAUACCGGACCGGAGCCAUUUUUAGUGUGAUGGUUGGAAAGUUUUAUCGGUGUGGUAUGAGCGUGCGGCCUAGCCGCAUGGUGGUGGGGGAAUGGCCUACCAAGGCGGCGACGGGUAGCCGGCCUGGGAGUGUGGACGGGCACAGUGAGACUGAGAUACGGACCAGACUCCGACGGGUAGGAGAAGUGGGAGAUGUUACUAAAUGGGCGUGAGCGUGAUGCAGCGACGCCGCGGGGGGGAGGACGACCAUCGGGUUGUAGUCGCCUUUCGCUUGGGACGAGGCUUUUUGUGACAGUACCGGGAUAAGAAGCACCGGCUAACUACGUG